GAGUUUGAUUAUGGCUCAGGAUGAACGCUGGCGGUCUGCUUAACACAUGCAAGUCGAACGAACUCUUCGGAGUGAGUGGCGGACGGGUGAGUAACGCGUGAGAAUCUGCCUGUGGGUCGGGGACAACCACUGGAAACGGUGGCUAAUACCGGAUGAGCCGAAAGGUAAAAGAUUUAUUGCCCACAGAUGAGCUCGCGUCUGAUUAGCUAGUUGGUAAGGUAAAAGCGUACCAAGGCGACGAUCAGUAGCUGGUCUGAGAGGAUGAGCAGCCACACUGGGACUGAGACAUGGCCCAGACUCCUACGGGAGGCAGCAGUGGGGAAUUUUCCGCAAUGGGCGAAAGCCUGACGGAGCAAGACCGCGUGGGGGAGGAAGGUUUUUGGAUCGUAAACCCCUUUUGUCAAGGAAGAAGCUCUGACGGUACUUGACGAAUAAGCCUCGGCUAACUCCGUGCCAGCAGCCGCGGUAAUACGGAGGAGGCAAGCGUUAUCCGGAAUGAUUGGGCGUAAAGCGUCUGUAGGUGGCCAGCUAAGUCUGCUGUUAAAGAUCACAGCUCAACUGUGGGAAGGCAGUGGAAACUGGCAAGCUAGAGGCUGGUAGGGGUAAAGGGAAUUCCCGGUGUAGCGGUGAAAUGCGUAGAUAUCGGGAAGAACACCGGUGGCGAAAGCGCUUUACUGGGCCAGACCUGACACUGAAGGACGAAAGCUAGGGGAGCGAAAGGGAUUAGAUACCCCUGUAGUCCUAGCUGUAAACGAUGGAGACUAGGUGUAGCACGUAUCGACCCGUGCUGUAUCGUANCCNACGCGUUAAGUCUCCCGCCUGGGGAGUACNCACGCAAGUGUGAAACUCAAAGGAAUUGACGGGGGCCCNCACAAGCGGNGGANUAUGUGGUUUAAUNCGAUGCACCGCGAANAACCUUACCAGGNCUNGACAU
rnacentral:rRNA from 1 species